rnacentral:ncRNA from 1 species
GUGCGGUCAUAAAAAACAAUGUUUUUUAACGUUAGCUUUGACAACGGCCUCCAAGGGGUGAAUAAAUUACCUCAGUGAUUUAUGAAUAAUUUUACGGG